GUAAAUUUAGGGUUAUGGAUUUGGUUUUGGUUCUGUGUCUUGGCUUUAGUUACAGAAAACACAUGGUACUUUAUGGGUUCCGGUGAGUAAGGAAUGUUAAAUUAAAUCAAAGUUUAAUAUUUUGUUUUAUUUUACGUUUUAGGGCAUAAUUGUAUUUAUAUGACGCUUAUUUUUAUUCACUUUGUACACCAGUGUUGGAGGUUGAACAAUAAACUUUGGUUUGAUUCAGUGAGUUGCUAUUGAGGUCUGGUAAAGUUUGUGCCAGCAACUGCGGUUAGACAAACAGACCUAGUCAAGAUUUUUGCAGCAUAAAGUAGGGUUAGGGGUACAUAGUUUAACUGUUAGAGGAUUUAAGAUGGUUUGAGGGGUGCAAUCCUAAGAAUCGUGUAUUUAUCUGGUAUUCUCUUGUUACCUGAUGCCCUGAAACUCCAAUUAAAAACCGGGAUUUGGUAUCCCGUUAUUCGGAGUGUAAACUUUGGUUUGUAAUCUGCUGGGGUACUACGAGCGCUAAGGUUUUUAGCUAGGCUUAAAACUCAAAAAACUUGGCGGUGUUUCAUAUCCUCCCAGGGGAACCUGUCUCGUAAACGAUGAUCCACGAUUUAUCUUACCUUGUUUUGAAAUGCUUAUUGAAAGCAGGACAGCUUGUAUACCGUCGCCGAUAGAUUACCCUUGAGGGGUUAAAAGUGGUCGGGAAGAGAAGUUGAGGUUGGGCGAUACAGUGGCCACUUAGUGGCUGUUGUGGUAGUUCAUGUUAGGUUGUAAAGCUUACGGGCUUUGUAAUGUUAUGUUUCUCAGGAUGUCAGAUCAAGGUGCAGCAUAUGAUUAGGUGAUGAUGGGUUACAAUAAUUUAUUUAUUAUACGGAUUUUCUACUGGAAUGUAGAAUUUAAAGGCGGACUUGGAUGUAAUGUUGAAUUAGGAAGUUAUAGUGAACUAGGUUUUGAAAUGUGUACAAAUCGCCCGUCGCUCUCGUUGAAAAAUGAGAUAAGUCGUAACAUAGUAGGGGUACCGGAAGGUGCCCCUGGAAUAUUGGUUAUUU
rnacentral:rRNA from 2 species